GACGAACCGUGCGAACGUUGUUCGGAAUCACUGGGCUUAAAGGGCGCGUAGGCGGGCCCGCCAGUCAGGGGUGAAAUCCCACGGCUCAACCGUGGCAGUGCCUCUGAUACUGCGGGCCUCGAGGGAGGUAGGGGCGUGCGGAACUUCCGGUGGAGCGGUGAAAUGCGUAGAUAUCGGAAGGAACACCGGUGGCGAAAGCGGCGCGCUGGACCUCUUCUGACGCUGAGGCGCGAAAGCCAGGGGAGCAAAGCAGG
rnacentral:rRNA from 1 species